CUUGCUUUUUAGUUACGGCGGACGGGUGAGUACACGUGGGCACCUGCCUGUAAGACUGGGAUAACUUCGGGAAACCGGAGCUAAUACCGGAUAAUCCUUUCCUACUCAUGUAGGAAAGCUGAAAGACGGUUUACGCUGUCACUUACAGAUGGGCCCGCGGCGCAUUAGCUAGUUGGUGAGGUAACGGCUCACCAAGGCGACGAUGCGUAGCCGACCUGAGAGGGUGAUCGGCCACACUGGGACUGAGACACGGCCCAGACUCCUACGGGAGGCAGCAGUAGGGAAUCUUCCGCAAUGGACGAAAGUCUGACGGAGCAACGCCGCGUGAGUGAUGAAGGUUUUCGGAUCGUAAAACUCUGUUGUUAGGGAAGAACAAGUACGAGAGUAACUGCUCGUACCUUGACGGUACCUAACCAGAAAGCCACGGCUAACUACGUGCCAGCAGCCGCGGUAAUACGUAAGUGG
rnacentral:rRNA from 1 species